UACGGGGGGGGCAAGCGUUGUUCGGAAUUACUGGGCGUAAAGGGCUCGUAGGUGGCCAACUAAGUCAGACGUGAAAUCCCUCGGCUUAACCGGGGAACUGCGUCUGAUACUGGAUGGCUUGAGUUUGGGAGAGGGAUGCGGAAUUCCAGGUGUAGCGGUGAAAUGCGUAGAUAUCUGGAGGAACACCGGUGGCGAAGGCGGCAUCCUGGACCAUCGCUGACGCUGAGACACGAAAGCGUGGGUAGCAAACAGG
rnacentral:rRNA from 1 species